rnacentral:antisense_RNA from 17 species
GAUAACCGAAGAUCACGCCAGGGUCGAGGGUGGGGUUCGUGAUCAAACGAACGUCGCCACCGCCGGGGGCCCAGGUGUCGUAGACGCCGCCGAAAAACAUGGCCUUAAAGACCAGCAGCAAGCAGCCGACACCAAGAAGGAUCAGGUGAUAACCAAUGAUGUUGGUCAUCUGGUUUUUGUCGCGCCA